ACGGAAGGCAGCAGCUAAGAAUAUUCCGCAUGGACGAAAGUCUGACGGAGCGACGCCGCGUGUACGAUGAAGGUCGGACGAUUGUAAAGUACUUUUAUGCAUGAGGAAUAAAGCGGGUAGGGAAUGACCUGCAGGUGACUGUAGUGCAUGAAUAAGCAACGGCUAAUUACGUGCCAGCAGCCGCGGUAACACGUAAGUUGCGAGCGUUGUUCGGAAUUAUUGGGCGUAAAGGGCAUGUAGGCAGUUAUGCAAGUAUGGUGUGAAAGGCAGGAGCUCAACUACUGGACGGCGCCGGAAAAGGUAAAACUAGAGUGACUGAGGAGCAAUCAGAAUUCCAGGUGUAGGGGUGAAAUCUGUAGAUAUCUGGAAGAAUACCAAUGGCGAAUGCAGGUUGCGAGCAGAUGACUGACGCUGCGGUGCGAAGGUGCGGGGAGCAAACAGGAUUAGAUACCCUGGUA
rnacentral:rRNA from 1 species